GGAGAAAAAAAAUACAUAGCUUUUUACAUGUGCAUUACAUUUUCUUACAUUACUACAUCAAUUGCACACAGAAAUACUACAAAUUUUGAAGCAUAUGCAUGUUCCUUCUUAUGCUGGUUUAUUGGCCAUUGACACCUUAUGAUUAAGUUGAGUGUUAGAGAAAAAUAAAUAAAUAAAAACAACUAGUUGCUAAACAAGGCCCAGCAUUCCCUCUGGAACUCCAUCCACCCCAAAGGACAUUCAUCAGCUGAACAGACUCUUACAUAACGCCUUCACCAUGCUGCCCAUGUUGGAUUAUCCCUACAGCAAUCAUUUCAUGGGCAGCAUGCCAGCCUUCCCUGUGAAGGUGGCGUGUGAAACCAUGCUGAAUGGCACUGAUCUUCUGUCGGCAGUCAGAGCUUCUGUUGGUAAACGACAGCAGCUUUGUACAAAUUAGAUUUUCUUUUUCAUUUUAUAUCCCUCUGGUCCUGGCAUGGAAAGUCUUCAGAAUUAAUUUUGUGCCGGCCCACAGGCAUUGUGUAUAAUUCCACUGGACAGCUCCCAUGUUAUAACCUCUACAGUCUCUAAGUAGUGUCCCGAUCCCACCGGCUGUGGCCUUGGCUUUGACAGCUAUGCUUGGGAUUACCAGAUCUCACCACCGCAAGCAAUAUCAUAUUUUCCAAUGGUGAUCUUGAUCCUUUGGCUAAUUGAGGGGAAUUAUUUUCACCUGUAGAUCAGGAAGACACUCAGUCCAUCACUGAUUGCAAUCAACAUACCAGAGGGAGCUCAUCGUCUGGAUUUAAAGAAGUCUAACCCUGCUGAUCCUCAGUCUGUGAUUGUGGCUCAGAAGAAGGAAUAUGAAAUCAUUGCUCAGUGGGUGAAGGCAGAAAGAAAGUCAUUAUGAGUUCAUUUUUGUGAACAAUUUAUUUCAACAUUGUAAACUUGUUAAAUAUUGAAUAAAUCAAUUUAUUUUCCACAGAAA